UCCAUACAACAGCCCUAAACUUUGGGAUUUAAUAUCUGCCCCACUUUCUCUUGCUGCAGGAAGCAGAUUAGGUGACAUAGCUGGAGAAAAGGGAUCUACAUGGCCCUAUUGAGCAGGGGAAAACCCCAGAGGUGGCUUCCAACCUAAACCACCCUAUAAUGCUGUGAAAGCCUUUGUGCAGAGGGUCCCAAAGCCACAAUUGUUUGAAGUAUUUGUAGCUGGUGCAUGUAUCAUUUAGCUUGAGACUGCAAGUCAUAGACUAGAGUGUUGCUUUUUUUGAACUAACAGUUGUGCAACAGGUUUUCUUGAAAGCCAAGUUUGCAACAAAUUGCUACCAUCAGAAGUCAAACCUACAAAUUCUAUGGGUUUAAUUAUUGUUUAAAAACAGAGACCAGAAGUGGGAUAUUUGGUUGAUAUUUAGCAGAAUACAUAACACUUCCGAGGUCACACUUUGCUAAGUGUGUACAUCUAUCUCUAAAUGGCCUUGUGUUUUGCAAAGUAGGAAGUGUUGGUUUUUUAAGUCAAGACGCUGGUGUUUUGGAACUCAUUAGUUUGUACUGAUGCAGGGAUAGCUUGUUGUGGACUUGCUUGUUAACUUGUAACAGCACAGAUGCAGGAUUGCUCCGCUUUGCUAGUGGCAGCAAAAUUAAUUUUAGCUGCUGCUUGUGCCUAUGGGAAGGAUGACUGAAAAAGGGGGUGGGAUGUAGUACCUCCUUCCUUUUCUUCCCAAGCUGUAGAGUAGCAGGAAAGGAAAUACAUAGCUCAUAACUCUGCCCCUAUGACAUCAACCAGCAGAACUUCUUCUUCCAGAAAUCUUCAUGGAGACUCAAGCUACUGUGUCACUCUGGUUUGCACAAGCAGGCAGAGCCACACCUGAAUUUAUGGCUGUGUGUGGGGAUUUGCCCAGGUCAGUGUUGCUGCAGAGCCAGAAGAGGGAGCACAGACAUUGCCGCUUCUUGAUCAUGCUUUUAGAGGCAACUUGGAAUAUUUCCAGAGGAAAAUCACUUAACUUGUUUUAAGACCUGUGAGGAAAGUAAAGCUUCUCAAAAUGGAUGCUUAUCAGAAGUGAUGAAUCAUAGUGGAUGAAGGGAAGACAGUUAUGUUAAAUGCUGACAUGACAAGAACACAGGAUUUUCUCAGGAGCUAAUCUGAAAAACUAUGUCCUAGAAUAAUCACAUCGACCCAUCUUGUGUAUCUGUGAUGUGUGGUGUGACAGAAAAACACCUCUUCCAAAAACUCCUCUUUUCCCGCUAGAGGGAGGACUCUCACAAAAUACUCUUGGGAGACUGUUCCCCUGACUGAGACUCUUCAACUCUAAACAAACCUUUCUGGGAAUGUUUUCAUCUAAUGGUAAGGACUAUCCUGCAAUGAAGUUAUAUGUAAUGAAAAGUAAUGAAAUUAAAUUUCUGUCAUGUUUUGAAAAAAAAUAAGGACUGGAUAUUGGAAUUUGCUCUUCUUCCCCUUUUUUUUUAAAAAAAAAGGUAGGUAUGUUAUGUAGGUAUGUAUUUGCUGGGGUUUAAUUUAAAAAAGCCAACCAAUCCUAUGCACAUUCUGAGGAGUGAAGCUUACAGAAUUUUAAAUAUAUAAUUCUUGGAAAUGUAAGAAUAAACAGAAUUUGUACACAGGUAUUUGUAUCUUCAUUAUCAGCCAUAUUAAUAUGUCCACAAAAUUUUUGCCUCAAUAAACCUUGAAGCCAAGCACUUCCACCAGCAUAUAGUAAAUAUGUUGUUCAACUAAAAAUAGCAAUUACUGCAAACAGUAUUCAUGUGGGAAUGAUAUAUACUAUAAAUAUACUAAGAUACAUGUGGAUCAGUUUAAUCUAAUCAAGUAUAUGUAAACAAACCAAUGGACAGAGCUUUGAAAGGAGAAAGUAGGAUGAAAAGAAAAAGAA